rnacentral:rRNA from 1 species
AUUAAAAGUAUUUUCUGCUCAGUGUUUAUAAAUAGCUGCGGUAAUUUGACCGUGCAAAGGUAGCAUAAUCAUUUGCUUCAUAAUUGGGGGCUAGUAUGAAUGGAAAUAUGAAAAUUUUUCUUUCUUUUUAUUUUUUUAAAAAAUUGUAGUUAAUGUGAAGAUACAUUAUUUUUAAUAAAAGACAAGAAGACCCUUUUGAGCUUUUAUUUAGUUGGGGCGAUUAAAGAAGACUUCUUUUUAUUUUGACCCAAAGUUUUUUGGUUUUUAGAAUUAGUUACCAAAGGGAUAACAGCGUAAUUUUUUUUAAGAGUUCUAAUUAAAAAAAAAGAUUGCGACCUCGAUGUUGACUUAUAAUUUCCUUUUGGUGCAGUAGCUUAUAGGGUUGGUC